AUUGAACGCUGGCGGCAUGCCUUACACAUGCAAGUCGAACGGGCAUAGCAAUAUGUCAGUGGCAGACGGGUGAGUAACGCGUGGGAACGUGCCCUUUAGUUCGGAAUAACCAAGGGAAACUUUGGCUAAUACCGGAUAAGCCCGAGAGGGGAAAGAUUUAUCGCUGAAGGAGCGGCCCGCGUCUGAUUAGCUAGUUGGUGAGGUAAUGGCUCACCAAGGCGACGAUCAGUAGCUGGUCUGAGAGGAUGAUCAGCCACACUGGGACUGAGACACGGCCCAGACUCCUACGGGAGGCAGCAGUGGGGAAUAUUGGACAAUGGGGGCAACCCUGAUCCAGCCAUGCCGCGUGAGUGAUGAAGGCCUUAGGGUUGUAAAACUCUUUUAUCCGGGAAGAUAAUGACUGUACCGGAAGAAUAAGCCCCGGCUAACUUCGUGCCAGCCGCCGCAGUAAAAC
rnacentral:rRNA from 1 species